rnacentral:rRNA from 1 species
GGAUCCAGACUUUGAUUCUGGCUCAGGAUGAACGCUGGCGGCGUGCCUAACACAUGCAAGUCGAACGGAACUUCUUUGACAGAAUUCUUCGGAAGGAAGUUGAUUAAGUUCAGUGGCGGACGGGUGAGUAACGCGUGAGUAACCUGCCUUUGAGAGGGGAAUAACUUCCCGAAAGGGAUGCUAAUACCGCAUGAUGCAUAUUUAUCGCAUGGUAGAUGUGCCAAAGAUUUAUCGCCCAAAGAUGGACUCGCGUCCGAUUAGCCAGUUGGCGGGGUAACGGCCCACCAAAGCGACGAUCGGUAGCCGGACUGAGAGGUUGAACGGCCACAUUGGGACUGAGACACGGCCCAGACUCCUACGGGGGGCAGCAGUGGGGGAUAUUGCGCAAUGGGGGAAACCCUGACGCAGCAACGCCGCGUGAAGGAUGAAGGUUUUCGGAUUGUAAACUUCUUUUAUUUAGGACGAACAAUGACGGUACUAAAUGAAUAAGCUCCGGCUAACUACGUGCCAGCAGCCGCGGUAAUACGUAGGGAGCAAGCGUUAUCCGGAUUUACUGGGUGUAAAGGGUGCGUAGGCGGCUUGGUAAGUCAGAUGUGAAAUGUAUGGGCUCAACCCAUGCACUGCAUUUGAAACUAUUGAGCUUGAGUGAAGUAGAGGUAGGCGGAAUUCCCUGUGUAGCGGUGAAAUGCGUAGAGAUAGGGAGGAACACCAGUGGCGAAGGCGGCCUACUGGGCUUUAACUGACUCUGAGGCACGAAAGCGUGGGUAGCAAACAGGAUUAGAUACCCUGGUAGUCCACGCUGUAAACGAUGAUUACUAGGUGUGGGGGGUCUGACCCCUUCCGUGCCGGAGUUAACACAAUAGGUAAUCCACCUGGGGAGUACGACCGCAAGGUUGCAACUCAAAUGAAUUGACGG